GACGAACGCUGGCGGCGUGCUUAACACAUGCAAGUCGAACGGAAAGGCCCUGCUUUUGUGGGGUGCUCGAGUGGCGAACGGGUGAGUAACACGUGAGUAACCUGCCCUUGACUUUGGGAUAACUUCAGGAAACUGGGGCUAAUACCGGAUAGGAGCUCCUGCUGCAUGGUGGGGGUUGGAAAGUUUCGGCGGUUGGGGAUGGACUCGCGGCUUAUCAGCUUGUUGGUGGGGUAGUGGCUUACCAAGGCUUUGACGGGUAGCCGGCCUGAGAGGGUGACCGGCCACAUUGGGACUGAGGUAGGGGCAAGACUGCAUCGGGAGGCAGCAGUGGGAGAUAGUGCGCAAUGGGCGGAGGCAGUGUGCAGCAACGCCGCGUGCGGGAUGACGGCCUUCGGGGUGUAAACCUCUUGCGCCUGUGACGAAGCGUGAGUGACGGUAAUGGGUAAAGAAGCACCGGCUAACUACGUG
rnacentral:rRNA from 1 species